rnacentral:rRNA from 1 species
ACACACACAUCCGCCCGGGUACUACGAGCACAGCUUAAAACCCAAAGGACUUGGCGGUGUCUCAGACCCACCUAGAGGAGCCUGUUCUAGAACCGAUAACCCCCGUUAAACCUCACCACUUCUUGUUUUCCCCGCCUAUAUACCGCCGUCGUCAGCUUACCCUGUGAAGGUUUAAUAGUAAGCAAAAUGGGCUAGCCCAAAAACGUCAGGUCGAGGUGUAGCGCACGAAGUGGGAAGAAAUGGGCUACAUUUUCUAUACAUAGAAUAUUACGAAUGGCGCAUUGAAAUUAUGCGCCUGAAGGUGGAUUUAGUAGUAAAAAGCAAAUAGAGUGUCCAUUUGAACUAGGCUCUGAGACGCGCACACACCGCCCGUCACUCUCCCCAACAUCCCAUUUAAACAAUAUAUAAUAAAUCAACUACAAACACGGGGAGGCAAGUCGUAACAUGGUAAGUGUACCGGAAGGUGCACUUGGAAUAAU